GGCUAUGGCCAUACUACCCUGAAUGCACACAAUCUUGUCUGAUCUCAGAAGCUAAGCAGGGUUGGGCCUGGUUAGUACUUAGGUAGGAGAUAGAUUAGUCUUAUUGUGU
rnacentral:rRNA from 1 species